rnacentral:precursor_RNA from 1 species
UCGGUGAAUGCCAACGGAUUUCAUAGCUACUAGCUAUAUUCACAGAAAUCCUUUGAUAUUCACCGGUA